rnacentral:lncRNA from 1 species
GGGGUUCCUGCUUGGGCUGACCCAGUCAGGGAUAGCUGAGCUCUGUGCCACCCAGCUGUGUCUCCAUCAUCCCUAGAACCAGCUGAGACCAGCGGCUCCCCACACCCGGGGAGAGCGUCUUUCCUUUCGGAGGAGCCGGCGCUGACAGAGGAGCGGCAGCUGCAUUAACAGCUUUUAGGAUGCAAAUCCCUGUUUUGUCCUGGGGAUUAGGCCCAAACCUCCAGGCUGGAGAAGGGAGCACCAGUGGGGCAGGGGGACAAGGACAUGGGGCUGUGCUGGUUGCCCACUCUACUCAGCCUCCCUGCCCUAGGGCAGCUAUGCCCUCUGCCUGACCCAAGACCCGGGGCCACACCGGGAGGAAUCCACGUGGUGGGGACAGGGUGCCCGGCAUUUGCACAGUCAGUGGCUGCUGUGUGCAGGCCCUGGGUUCACGCAGCGUCUCUCAGGGACAGCGGCGCCUCCAGAGGACCUUGGUACAGCCCAGAUGUGGAUGCGGCAGACCAGCCGAGGAGCCUUCAGCAUCUCCCGCCGAGAGAAGCCAGGCCAGCUGCCAGCGCUGGGAGACGAGAAAACCCCGAGUGCCUGGAGACCCGAGCCCCAAGUUUGCCUGAAGCACCCUGCUCCCUUCAACAAGCCUGUGAAUGUGACGUCUGGAGAAAGGGUGAGGCCUGGGCCUUAUAAAGGAACCUGGAGCCGGGUGUAGUGGCUCACGCCUGUAAUCCCAACACUUUGGGAGACCAAGCAGGGAGGAUCGCUUGAGUCCAGGAGUUCAAGCGCAACCUGGGCAACAUAGCAAGUCCCUGUCUGUACAAAAAAUACAAAUACUAGCCCAGUAUGGUGACACAUGCCUGUAAUUCCAGCUACUCAGGAGGCUGAGGCGGGAGGAUCGCUUGAGCCCACUAGUUUGAGGCCAACUUGGGCAACCUAGUGAGACCCGAUCUCUAUAAAAAAUUAGCCAGGCAUGAUGGUACUCACCUGUGGUCCUAGCUACUCAGAAAACUGAGGCAGGAAAAUCACUUCAGUCUGCUGGUUUGAGACCAGCUUGGGCAACGUAGUGAGAUCUCAUCUGUAUAAAAAAUUAGCCAGGCAUGGUGGUGCAUGCCCAUAGUCCCAGCUCAGGAGGCUGAGGCAGGAGGAUCACUGGAGCUCAGGAGUUUGAGGCUGCAGUGUGCUGUGUUCGUGCCACUGCACUCCAGCCUGGGCGACAAAGCAAGACCCUGUCAUAAAUAAAUACAUACAUACAUACAUACAUACAUACAUAAAUGGAAAAAGAAAACUGGAAAUCAGAAUGGAAGGACCCAGAAGCUGCCAGGGCUGCCUCAGAGAGAAUUCUGGAACACUGCUGCCUUGGGAAGAUAACGUCUGGCUGAUGGAAGGUCAGAGGCAGGUUACCAGGGACAGACUCCUCUGUUUGUAAAGAAGGUCACCCAGGCAUCCCUCGUGUCUUCCCACUGCAUUUGGUGCACAGUGCGUGACUCCGGUUCUCUCUCAUUCAG